rnacentral:rRNA from 1 species
UACGUAGGGUGCAAGCGUUGUCCGGAAUUAUUGGGCGUAAAGAGCUCGUAGGCGGUUUGUCGCGUCUGCUGUGAAAACCCGAGGCUCAACCUCGGGCCUGCAGUGGGUACAGGCAGACUAGAGUGCGGUAGGGGGAGAUUGGAAUUCCUGGUGUAGCGGUGGAAUGCGCAGAUAUCAGGAGGAACACCAAUGGCGAAGGCAGACUCUGGGCCGUAACUGACGCUGAGGAGCGAAAGCAUGGGGAGCGAACAGG